rnacentral:rRNA from 1 species
UACGUAGGGUGCAAGCGUUGUCCGGAAUUAUUGGGCGUAAAGAGCUCGUAGGCGGUUUGUCGCGUCGAAUGUGAAAACCCGGGGCUCAACUCCGGGCCUGCAUUCGAUACGGGCAGACUAGAGUUCGGUAGGGGAGUCUGGAAUUCCUGGUGUAGCGGUGAAAUGCGCAGAUAUCAGGAGGAACACCGGGUGGCGAAGGCGGGUCUCUGGGCCGAUACUGACGCUGAGGAGCGAAAGCGUGGGGAGCGAACAGG